UUUUACUCUGAAAUUUUACUCUGGUUAACAACAUGUUGAUUUGCUUAAUAAUAUAAAAUUUUACCAUAAUUCAAAGGUUCAUCAUAAUCUGAAUAGUGUGAAUUGUGAUAGAUGUUAUCCUUGUAAAGGAUAGAGUCCAAUGAAGUGAGACUUCUAGGGAAAGUUAGACAUUGAUCAUUAUAAAAGUAAGGCACCCUUGUGAGUCUAAGGGAUAUAAUUUAUUCUGUGAGCUCUUGAUUUGAGUUAAUGAUAUCUUAUGAGAUAAGUUAACUGACUUGAUUGUUGGAGUGCCUCCGGAUGGACGAACCACCGCGAUAUUCUUAGCUUCUUGUUGGCAGGUGGUUGACUCAAUCUAUUCUGUCAGUGCUCUCUAACUAAGUUCCCUAUUUGAUUGUGUGGUCAAAAAUCAACACCCACAAUACCUAUUUGUAAAUCUUAUGAUACGAUGAAAAAAAAUUCAUUAUAAUGAUAAUAUAACAUGUCAAUGCUGACAUAAUAUUAUCAUUAAAUUAUAACCUUUCAUGUAACUAUAAGGUAUCCGAUUAUACACAUGUGUUAGUGAGUUGAGUUAGACAAGUGGUUAUAUUUAUGUAGAUGGGUUUAUCCAAGUCCAAAUCCUUUGCCGGGUUUUCUACGGGGCUCCCUGCGCUACUUAAAAAACGAAGUCGUUUUUGCCUUAUAAAAAAGGAAAACUUUCCUUUGCCCUCUUUUGUUUUCUCUCUCAGCUCUCAAAUGUUUGAGAGACUACAACAGAGGGACGAAGAGGUGACAGGCGAUCGGACGGCGAGGCAACGAUGACAACAAGACAGCGGUGGCGGCAGGUGCAACACCGAUCAAGAAAAGAGAGUCCAAAACAUGUUUUCCAAUGCACACUCCAUAAAGAAACUAAGAUGAUUGUUCGGUCAAACAAUUGAGAAUCUAAGGUUUUGGACGAGACCAAACAAACCUUAUCUGUACCCAGAUCUCAAUCCAAAGAGAUCCAAAGCGGUGGCUUUGUCGGGUUUGGGCAAACUCGGGCCUGCAUUAAUGAUCGAUCCGAUGCUUCUCUCUGCAAAACUGUACAAGAUCGAUGCCACUGGGAGAUGGGUUUGGGUUUGAUUGAGGAUUUGGGUUUGGUCCGGUUGAGGGUUUUUUUUUUACAGGUCUACGCAGGUCUUAUGAAGUCAUUUCAAGAGAGAUUCAAAUUUAAUCACAAGGUGUAUGUGUGCGACAAAUAUUUCAUACUCAUAUAGUGCUAUUAUGAAGACAUAUACAUUAUUUUAAGACAUUACAUGAUAAGUCAUAAUUGAAGAUUAUAAUAAUCGUAACUGAAACAUAUUAUAUAUACCCAAAAGAAAAUAAAAAUCAUAAAAUAAAUUAAUGACACCCCGUAUAAAUUUUUGUUAUAAAGUAUAAUAGAAGUGCGUAAUUAGCAAAUGUAUGAAGAAAGAAGUUGGUUUUCAUAUAACAAUAUAUAUCAUUAAAAUAAGAUAACUCUAUUU